ACUCUUCCUUCUCUUCGAAAUGAAUCUUUCGCCUUUUACCGAAGGUUUGCCUGGGGAGGGAUA
rnacentral:snRNA from 1 species